rnacentral:lncRNA from 1 species
UUAAGUUAAGUUAAAUAUAAGACAAACUCAAAACUUCAUUCACUUAAGCUUUUAAAUUCACAAAAAACAUAAUAUCAAGCUUGAGGAUAAAUGCGAAGGUGAUAUCUCUUCCUCUCAAGAUUUGGCAAACAAAUAAACACACAUUUCAGGAGAUGUAAACAAGCGAGACAAUUGGAAAAACAUUUAACAAAACCAAUCAAAGUAGAUUACCAACUAAAACAAUAAAAUAAAAAAGAAAAAGAACCUUUGUAUAGAAGGAAACUUCUUCAAUACAAGAGCAUAGCAACUCCUGAAUUAUCGCACUUAAAAGACCACAAAUCGAAACCUGCACCGAAGACCUUGAACCGACACCGAAAGGAACGCGGUCCCCGAGCUCGAAAAUACCUUCCUGAUUCGUUCUUCUUCUUUCAACAUGAAGUCAUUGCUGGAUUUGGGAGUUUUUUGGUUGAGGAAGAAGCUAUGUUUAGCCGGUUUCUAUGGGAUUUCAAGGCUCUUUCAUGGAGUUUUCCGGCAGGCUUCUAUGGUGAAUGAAGAUGAGAGCUUCCACUAGUUUUUAAUGGUAGAAGCUGUUUGUUGGUGGUUUGGGGAGCUACUGGGGUGGCAUUUCCAUGGUAGUUUAAGGUGUAGGAAAAGGUGAAGAAGAAGAAGAACCAGAUUUUUUAUUUCUUGCUCACUCCUUUCUCUCUUUCAUUCACACUCCCCCCUUUUCAUUAUUGUUGGGUGGUGUUGAAAUGU